GUUUAAGGAGGACAGUGGCAAAAAUAUGAUUUUACUGUUACAAGAGGACCUGAGCUAGUCCAUGUAGAACAAGCCGUCAGUCAACCAGGAGCAUUUCAGCAUUCCAGACUCGAGGGCACUGUGGCCUGGAUGGGGUGGGCACAGUGGAGAUGGAGAGGUCAUGUAAGAUUUUGUGGUGAGCCCAUGAUGGAUGGGGGAAUGCUAGAUAUUGAUUCAUUUUAUGGUACUGGAUUACUAUAACUGAUGCCAUCUGUGCAUUGAGGAAUUAUGGUAUUAGUAUAAACCUUAAUAGGUUGAUAAAUUUUCUGAAAGUACGAACUAGAUUUUACCUUCAGUGUUCUUUCUAAAGCGUAAGCUCAAGACCAGGGGGACCAGAUUAUCUUCUCUUUCUCCCUUUCCCUCACUUAGCAGAGUUCCAGACACACAGUAGCCACUCAUGUACAUUUCAUGCAAUGAACAAAUAGCCCCAAAUGGCAGAAGGUGUGAGUCACUACAAGCUUCCCUUUUUAUUUGAUUUUUAAAUAAACAUUGUCUUUAUUGGCAAUUUCUUCAUUACUCCAACAAAUAUUUCUGGAGUGCCUGUUAGGUAUGAGAAUAUGCUGCUGCUCGGGAAGCAUGACGUUGGAACAGGGGGUGCACGGAACAAACACAGACCCUGACUCCAUAGAGUCUGCAGACUCCUGCACAGGAGAAAAAGUCAGGAGCCCCUGGGAGCAUCUCCUUAGGAAUGAGGGAGGGAGAUGGUCCCUGCCCCUGGUUAAGGAAGCAGUGCAAGCCACCAGGGUAAUUUUUCUAGCACUGGAUACUGGUCUAGGUUCUAUACUUGUCUCUGGAUGAAAUCCUUCCAGUCCUUUUUCAACUGAGGAAGCAGAAGUUCAGGGAGCUUAGGUUUCCUUCCCCAAAGUCACACAGCCAAUGGGUGAUGAAGCUGGGGCUCAAAUUCAGACUAACUCCUGUGCCCUUUGGUCUUCUCUCUGUCUGCAACACCCACUGUCCUUUACGUCAUCCUUGGAAAGGUUAAGAUCAUUUCAAAUCUGCCACCCUGAGCCUAGAGAAUAUUUCCUUACAUGCAUAUGUGAGUAUAUAUCUGGGUGCAUUCACACGUGUGUAGAGGUGUGUGUGUGUGUGUGUGUGUGUGUGUAGAUGAAGGAGAAAGAGGGAAGAAGGAAAGUGGUUUUAUUAUAGCCUCGCCGGUCAGGUAACUCAGAGCAACCCUUAGUUACUGGCGGCAGCCUCCUCAAACAGAGCCAGAUCCCCCCCCUAGUGGUAGUUUCGGGGAGGCUCAGGGAGGACUCUCCUCGAAGAUUCAUAAGGCAUGCGAGACCAUCAGUCAAGAUAGUCUACAAAUGUCAGUUAGAAAAGAUUUAUAAUCAGCAGAGAGCUUGAUAAACCAGCUUUUACUGCAGCACCAUUGUGCUAAGAACACCGUCCCUUCCAAGGGCAGAGGGCAGAAUGCUGUUUCCAUCCGUCUGUACAAAUACUUGUGAAUCCCUUCACCUUAAUACAUGGACAGUAGACUAAGAGAAGCCCUGAGUAAUUUAUGUAUAGAACCACCUCCCUUCAUAAGUAAAUGGAAUAGAUCUAAUAUUCUGAGCUCCAUGGGAAGAGGGCGUAUAAAAUCCCUUUCGAGUAUAUGUUUUAUAAAAUAUAGGUCAUGAAUUGAGUUUUCCCGUAUCAAAGAAAAAAAUUUUAAUAGACUCACAGCUUUCUAGCUGUAAUUAUGGCUGCAUCUUUUUUUCAAGCCAAGCAUAGUACCCAAAGCUAUUUUAUUAUUCAGAAGACUGGCUCUUUUCAAAGAUUGCUCACAAGUUUGGUUUGGGGGAUUUUCAGUGUUUUCUUCUUGUUCCGGAUUUCUGCUUGUGUUCAGCACGUCGCAGUUUGUAUCCGCUGUGUUUGUGGUUGGGAGGGGUUGCUAACCCAGAGACCGUCUCGGUGGGGAGGACAGGGCAGGGCUCCUGACUCUGUGGUUGGCCUCUGUGUCUUUGAGAAAGGUCUCUAUCCAGAUUGAUGGAGGGUCUGUCCCCUGGGCCGUCAAAGCUAGACUCAAUGAGCUGCUGGCCAUCUGUCCCUCUGCGUUUCUUCCCACUUCUGUGAUCUCGCCCCCUCUCCUGCUAAGGAGAUUCUGUGCACGUCGGCUCACACUAGGGUUCUCAGCCAGGGUUAGAGGUGAGGACUUGCACAGUAACUUACAUACAGGAAAUUAAGUUAACUAGGUGUUUCCUGUGUGUGAUGCACCAUUCAAGAAUGGCUGGUUGGAUUUCUACCGGUUUGGGAAAGUGCCUUUGACAUGUUUUAACUUGAAAUGUCGACCCAUCCACUUAAAAGAGAUAAUCCAAGAGACCUAGGCUAUUGCUGAGGCACGUCAUGUGGAUUCAGACACUACAGAGCAGUGAUUCACCUGCAGACGACUUACCUUCUUCCCAGCCCCCAGACACUUUGGGUCACCCCACUAAGGGAGGGGAGAGCGCCACUGGCAUCUAGUGGGUAGAGGCCAGGGAUGUAGCACACAGGACAAGCCCCCAAUGAAGGAUUAUUGGGCUCAAGAGUUCGGCACUCCCAAGGUUAAGAAAACCCGCCCAGAGGAGGAAAUGAAGAGUUUGGGCUGUGCAUUGCACAUCCGGAAUCUGGAGGAGCAUGGACAUUGGCUAGUGCCUCUCUGUGGCGAGUCUCAGGGUGAGCUCCGGCCAGCCUGUUCCUCUGAGGACGGUCAGAGGAAGCAUGUAGCUGCGGGUAGCGGUGAGCACUGCGUGAACGGGAGCUGGGACGAGGCCCUAUGCCAAGGGAUUCCUGCGCAUGGUCUCCCUGACUCACCAUAGGUAUCCUACACACAGACACGUGAUCAUCUCCGUGUUUCCAGGGAGGACACUGAAGCUUAGGGAGGUUAGAAAACAAUUUUCCCAGGCGAGCGGAGCCCUCUCCCUCAAUACCCAUUCUUCUCUCCAUUAGUAACGAACCCCAACAUACGACAGCGUCAUUGUGUCCGCGUGAAAACCAUAUUGCGGCUAGGUGUGGCCGUGUGGUAGAGUCCCAGCCAGCGAGCUACAAGCACGGCAUUUUGUCACGUUCCCGGGAUGAGUUGGGGGCCACGGGAGCUGGGAAGGUUGCCCGUUUGUCCUGGCCGGAAUGAGGUCUUGGGGGCUAGACCUCAGGCAGGCGCUGUGUUUCAUAAGGUGGCUUUGAGGGUGGAAACUGUGUCCUAAGAAGGUGGCGAAAGCCAGACAGGGACGGGAUUCUGUUGCCCGUGGAAUGUUACACCAGCCCCGGACUGCCUCUCUCCAGAAGUGUCUUACAUGAGACAGUAAUGAACUUCUGUCUCAUUGAGCUCACUGUUAUGUUGGCUCCUCUGUGCUCCUCACCAAAUCUAAUAACAGCUGACAUACCCAGCGUCAGUCCACGAGUAAGAAUUACAGCCAAGACAAUUGGACUCCGAGUCAUGCUUUUCAACUGCUGUGCUGCCCGAGACAUUCAAACCCUGUGUUUCAUACCACCUGCCUCUGUAUGGUAGUCAGAAAAUUGAGCCUUUAUUGGAGCAAAAAUUGUCUUUGUCUCCUCCAUUAUCUUAGAGUUCUUUCCAGAAAGCAUUCUGAGGUCUCUGUCCUUAGGUAUUCUUUAUUAGAUUAAAAACAUACCCAGUGCCCCAUGAUGGAAACUUCCUUAGCACAGCGGUUUUCAUUUUCUCGUCACAGUCAUUUCAGAUCGGAGUCCAGCCCCAAUUGUCCGAAAAUGCUCCAAUAAUGUGCAUCAUCGUGUGGCUGCCAUUUACAUCAGGAUCCACAUCCCAAGGACUAGGGAGGAAGGGGAAAGAUACAGGGAAUGUUAAGAGGGCUCUAGAAGGUUUUCACAGAAUAUUAAUUUUUGGGCUUGUCAGGGCGUCAACUGGAAAUGCAUCUUCAGGAUGUGCCUCUCAGUUCAUUGGGGAGAUCGAUAUGUUCUAACAAGAGUGCAGCCCAGGGGUCGAGACCACUGGCUCCCGUGUCCAAAAGGUCUGGUUUUCAGUUAUGUUUCCACUGCUAAUUGAGAGCCCUUGAACACGGCGUCUUGCCUCUCUGAGCUUUGCAUAACUCCUCUGCAGAAGGGGGAUAAUGGUAAUGCCCCCAAAGGGUGGCAGAUAUCAAGCCUGGAGCACCACGCCGAACAAAAUAAAUACUACAUGUGCCAUAAACAUUAGCUGCUGCCAGACGCCUUUUCCCCCCAGUGGCAGGGCACAGUGCCGCUGCUAGCAUCUUGCAAGGAAAGGAAGAAGUCUGCCCUCCAGCAAAGCUGGGUUCCAAUCCUGGCCCUUCCUCUUAUCAGCUGUGCGAAUUCGAGCAUCUCUUCCUUCAUUUUGCGUUGGUGAUAGUCCACAGUGGCAGCAUUCUGUAUGAGUUGGAAUUAGGCAGAUUUGAAAUGAUGCAAUAUGGGAAAUAUUUGUAAAGUCUCACUUGGGCACAUGUCUGGAAACAUUUCUGUCAUCCUCCAAGGAAGCCCUGUAUUUAUCAGGACUCAUUCCCCACUUUCUCCCCAAAUUGCCCAGUCCCAGGAGACCACGGGUCUACCCGUUGGCACUUUUGAUUUGCCCGUUCUGGGCAUUUCACAUAAAUGGGAUCCCACAGGAGGUGGUAUGUUGUGACUGGUUUCUUUCCCACGGCUCCAUGUUUCUAUGAUGCUGGAUCGAAUGCAACACGGGUCAGUAUUUCGUUUCUUCUUGUUGCCAAAGACAGGGUUCGCUCCUUAUAUCUGCCUUGGCCACACUCGGUGCUGCCUCAGCUGGUAAAGAGGAAGACAUAACAUUCUUUGUCAAGAGUACUCUUGAAUUAUGCACAUUUUCAAUUAUUUGACAUAGUCAAGAACAUGGCCCUUACAUAAAGUAUACCUGAGCUCUACUUACAAGAAUUAAAUGAGACAAUAUAUGGAAGUUCUUGGUAGCAAGGCCCAAUACAUGGUGGCCCCUCAGGAAAUAGUCCCUCCCUGUGUUGGGUGGGUUGUCUUAUAACACACCUCCUUGUCAUCCACUUUACUGUUUGUCACCCUAAGGAAUCCCCGUCAGUAACGAUUCCAACUGAUUAAGUAGAAGAAUUAUGUCUCAGUGUUUCCUAAGGAGUUUGCUCACCAGGUAUCCCAAAAAUGUCUUUUGGAAAAAAAAAAAAUCCAAUCUGCACUAUUUUGUCAAGUUUCUGGAAACCUACCAAAGGUUCAAGUUAGAUAUUCCCUCGUAAAUUUCCACCGGUAUCCAUAUAUUCAUAAAGUAUAUCUGAGACCUUUACUUUCAUCAACCCAAGUAUAUUCCCAUUUUAACAGCGUCACUGUUGGGUGUAUGAGCUUUAAUGAAAGACAGCCUUUGAAAAAGACCAUCGUAGGGUCUUUCUGACUUACUUCAGCAAGGUUUAGAAGUAAAAGACACUUAUUCAUCCUCAAUCCUUUCCCCUUGACCUGGGCUGUUAGGCACCACAUCAAGCAGACAUCUCCGCUACUCCAACAAGCCAUCACAGCUUGCCUCGUAGGUGACAGACAUCAGAAUGGGUACUUCUGGAUGCGUCUAUUUCUUCUUCUCAGUGAUGCCGAUUAUCAUCAUGUCCGUGUUUCAGAUGAGGAAGCAUAAGCUCAGAGAGGUUGACAACACAUACUCAGAGGAGAAACUGGGAGUCUGGAUCUUUCUGAUCUCAAAGCUCAUCUUCCUCUAAAGAGGCUGAGUGUCCUUUGUCUUGGUAUGAGUUAAUUACUUCUUAGUAGUCCUGCUUAUCCUCCACAGAAAGACUUUUUUUUUUUUUUUACCCUGAUUCAGUGGUCUCUGAAACAGCAUUCAGGGCUGUUUCCUGGCCAAGGCUUUGCAUCUCAAUUCGAAAUGUUUAUUUUAUUGCUUAUUUUAUUUGCAUCUCCAUUCAAAAUGUUUAACAGGCAAACAAUGAAAAGUGCAGUGUGGCUUCAGCUUAAGAGUUUGCAAUCUGAGGAGCAAGUCUAGGUCAUGGCUGUCCAUGGGGAUGACACCUUAUAGCAUGAGACAGUCCAGCCGUGCCUGGUCCUAAUUACAAGUUAAGGAGUAAGGUCAAGUUACAUCACAAAAGGGCAAACACCCCAUCCGAGAGAAAAAUUAUUCUAGAGUUAGAAAAACCGUAACCAGGGAUCUAGGGAUGAAAUUCAUCUUGCAAUGUAUCAGCAAGGAAUGCUUUCUGCUGCAGGUAACAAAAAGGCAAUUAAUGUGGCUUAAACAUCUCAGGUUGAUUUUUCUCACAUUUCCAGAAGCUGAGAGGUGGGUGGCCGCUUCUGUCGCUUCACCGAUUUGAUAGCAUCUCUGUGAGUCUCUGACCUUUCUCUUGUGGCUGUGAGACUUGUCACAGCUCUAAAAUCACAGCUAUGUCUAAAGGAAGAAGAAAAAGGGGGCAGGAGACAUGUCUCUCCCUUUUCAUUAGAGAUGCAAAGUCUUUACCAGAAUAGUCUUUUCUUAACAACUCCCCAGAGCAGAACUCUGGCAAUCAUGUGAUUACCCCUGGCUGCAAGAAAAGCCAUGUGUAAACCAAUAUUUCCAUAUGUGUAUGUGCACAUGUAUACGUGUGUGUAUGCACGCAUGUGUGUUCAUCAACAGGGUGGGCUAGGGAGGAGAAAAUUGGGAAUAGAUCUGGGAUUAGCCAUGACUGGUCCCCAUGUGGCCCCCAAAGGUUAAGAGAUGUACCCAACUUUUAGAAGGUUAAAAUGCAGGAGAAACCAGCAUUUUCCAUGAUUUUAUUGUGAGUUUGAGAGUGAGCUGGGGGGCAUCACCGAAAGGAUUUCUUGGCUAAAUAAAGGAAAAAAAAAAACAAAAUCAGACUGGUUUCUUUACUGUUCAAGUUCUCAGAGACUUUAAGCUGUGAAUGGCCUCGUCAGUCUCCAAGAAGAGGCAGUCCCCGAGAAUCUGUUCCGGGCAGGCUGUUCCGUGAACCUGGCAUGCAGGAUAUGGUAGGUAUGUUGGGAAGGUAGCUUUUAGCCAGUGAACGACUGGAUCACGAGGUACCUGAGCAGGCAUGCCUCCCCCCUCACAGCGGAGCAGUUGAGCCCCAGGUUGAAUAUAAGAUUGUCUGGGAACAAGACAGUGAAGGUCGGAGAAGGUUGUACAGUGCCAGGUAGAUUUUUGACCUUGGUGAGCAUCAAGUCCAGCCACGGAGGGAGGGGACUCGUGAAGAAGUUGGGCACAGGGACCCCACCAUCGAUACCUCUGGACUGCCUCCUUCCUCCUGCAUCCACCCAGAUCCCGCUAGUCUCCUUCACAAAGCUCAUCAAUACUCAAAGAAUAAAAACCUUGCUGAAGGAAUUUAACUGUUCCAUAAAUAUCAAGCCAGGAGUGUUGGGAGUUUCAAUUGUUUGGGGUUUCCCCUGUUCUCGUGAAGAUCAACCCUUUGACCAGGUCCUUGGUAGGAAAUUGACCAGCCAGGAGCCUGAAGGUGGACAUAAUAAGUCCAGAUGGAAAAUGACAGAUUUUGUGCCUGUGCCUCUUACCAAGGACUGUUAGUCACAACCGUUGCUGCGUUUUUACUCUCCAGGUAGUCUCUGCCCCACUCUCCUAUUGUCUGGUAGCUGCCCAGCUUCGCUGUAACUGUCACACACAGGAUAUGGAGCUGAGGGUUUCAUACACAUCACCUCAUUUCAGCCUUGCAUUAUCCCCGAAAACAGGUAAAAGAAUUCUCAUUUACAGAUAAAGACCUAGAAUGUAGUGGGCAGGGACCUUACUGGGAUCUCACAACUUGGCCUCUGUAUCUUCCUUAUACCACGUGAAUACAUCAGUAUAAAAAAGAGAGUCUAAAUGAAAAUUGCUAUGCAAGACAGAAAACGUGACUUUAAAUGCAUGAUGGCUUUUACCAUUAGGUCAGAGGAAAAACAGAGCCAGAACUUGAUUAGUCUAGGGACCAGUGAAAGGUGGGUGAUAAUUUUGGACUUUCUUUUAUAGACGUUUGUACUAGGGUUCUCCAGAGAAACAGAAUCAGUACUAUAGGUCUAUAUCUAUAGCUAAUAAGAAACUGGCUCCCACAGUUAUGGAGGCUGAAAAGUCCCAAGGACUGUAGUCAGCAAGCUGGAGACCCGGGAGAGCCGAUGCUGUAAUUCUAUCCCAAAUGCCAGGAGGCUUGAGAUCUAUUAAAAGUGAUGUUUCAGUUUGAAGGUGGGGAAAAACCAGUGUCCCAGCUCAAAGUAGUCAGGCAGGAGGAGUUCCUUUUUGCUCAGGUUUUCUGUUCUAUUCGGGUGUUCAAUUGAUCCGGUGAGGCCCCAAGACUUUGGGGAGGGCAAUCUGCUUUACUCCAUCUAUUAUUUCAAAUGUUAAUAUCGCCCAGAAAUACCCUAACAGACACACCCAGAACAAUAUUUGGCCAAAUGUCUGGGCACCUUGUGUCCCAGUCAAAUUGACACCUAAAAUAAACCACCACGAUACUGUAGGCAGAAUCUUGACCUUGACGCCAUGACCUCCAUCCUCUGGUCUUAGACUUGUGAUUAUGUUGCCUUACACAGCCAGAGAUUUUGCCAAUGCAAAUACAGUAAAACCAUGGUUUGCAAGCAUAAUUUGUUCCAGAAACAUGCUUGUAACUCAAAGCACUCGUAUAUCAAAGCAAAUUUCAAGAACCAUUGGCUCAGUUGUGAUCAUGUGACAUUUGGCAACACGUGCUACUCAUAUUACAAGACCUUGUUCGUUCAUCAAGUUAAAAUUUAUUAGAAGUGUUUGCUCGUCUUGUGGAACACUCGCAAAACAAGUUACUCGCAAUCCAAGGUUUACCGUAAAGUUAUGAAUCGACUGACGUUAAAAUAGGAAGACUAUCCUGGAUUCUCCAGGUGGAUCUAAAUAAUCACCUGAGCCCUUAAAAGUGGAAGAGGCAGGCAGAAGAGUGAGUAAGAGAAGCAGUAGAAGAGGGAAGUAGGAGAGAGGAGGCAGAGGUUGGUUCAGACAGUCCUAACUCCUGAGAAGGACUCCACCUGUCAUUGGCUUGAGGCUGGGGUGGGGCCACAUGGAAAGCGUGAGAAGGAAAUUCAUUCUGCUGACACCCUGACCGGGCUUGGAAAGGAUUUCCCCAGAGCCAGUAGUAAAGAAUACAGACCUGCUGCCAACCUUGAUUUCAGCCUUGUGACACCCAGGUGAGUCUCGCUGUGUCCAGACCUCUACCCCACGGUCGCGGUGAGGUCAUAAAUGGGUGUUCCUUGAAGCCGCUGCUUGGUGGUAAUUUGUUACAGCAGAAAUAGAAAAGGAACGCAGUAUCUGGUUUAUUCCCUUACAUGCCAGCCGCGAGCAAAGUUGCUUUUCCCAAGAACGAAAACAGAAAUGGCCAACCAAAUGACAGAACGAAGGAGAACCACUCGAGCUCGCAAACUGCUUUAACAACCGUCCCAAGUUCAACUCCAAAUGCAACUUCUCAUCUCCAAGUAUUCCCCACACCAACAUCGUUCUUAAAUGAAAACAGCAUCAGAAACAACCUUCAGGACAUGUUUAGCAACACAUCCGAGCGAAGCUUCUUUAAUUGUUAAUUCUUUUGAUAGUCACGUGACACCACUAAUUACAGCGAACUGUCCGCUGAGGAGGUCACGCUGACUGCAUCCAGGAGGUCCACGGACAGGUCCCCAGGCCCACUGGGCUUUCAGAAGCGACCUCGCCCCUUGCCACCGUUCACCUCCCUCUCCCAGAGCAGACAUCUUUCACAAGGUGCUGGAAUUCGAUGAGGACAAGACCCUGAAAGAAAACAUCAUCCCCGCAACUGGGUUAACCCACUAUCGUUAAUGCAGUUCAGCGAAACCUGAGGUGACUUAACAGCACAGCAGUCCCUGGGCUCGGCGUCAUGGCGCUUUUCAAGGUCUCCCUACAUGCUCUUCUGCAAGCAACUAAGAUCUAGUCUCUUAGCAACUUGGAAGUCUGGAAGACCGUGCUGUUGGCUGCCAUCACUAUGCUGUGCAUUAGAUCUCCAGAACUUACCUUCCAAAUGCAAGUUUGUACCCUUUGACCGGUACCUGCCCCCCGCCCCCACCCGCCAGCUCCUGGCAACCACCGUUCUACUCUCUGUCUCCGUGAGUUCAGCUUGUUUAGAUCCCAUAGAAAUAAGUAUGUGGAUCGUGUA